GCCAGCUGCCUUCCACCGGCCCGACCCAGUGCGCAGGCGCCGCCGCGGGCCCUUUGACUCGCCGAGCGGAGCAGGAGAGAGCUUCUGCGCAUGUGCGGGCUGCCCUCGCACCGGGGAGGGGCUGUAGCUUUUCCAGGUCAUUUGGAAUCUUGGCCCUACCCUCCAGAGUGUCUGCAACUCCAUCCAACUUGAUGUUAUCUCCAAAUUUCCUCAGCCUGGACUCAGCCCCAUUGUCCAAAUCAGGGCUGUCCAACUUCAAACCAGCUAUGGACAACAUGCCCCAUGGGCACCCCACCCACAGGCUCAUGUACAGGGGUGGGUGUUCCCCCACCUUAUUCUCCCACUCUGCACUGCACACACAGGCAUGAUAUAGCCACACCCAGACAAUAGUUCACAAUAGUGAUUUGUCAGUUACCUGCCUGAGCAGGAACAGAGUGACAGCAUCUGGUUCAAGCCUGAAUAAGAAUAGGAAAACAAAUCCAAUUCAAUGAACCCUGAAUGGAGCAGCAAGCCUUACUUACAUGAAUGCUUAAAAACAGCAUACCACUAAUCCAUUCAUUUGCAACUCACUGUCUGGCUUUUAGAAUGCUAUUAUGGUACUUCCACUUCUAACAGUAUCACUCUAAGAAAACCCGUCAGAUAAGAGAAGUUUUGGGGUUAACAUUGUAAGAAAACUGAAUGAAUUGAUGUUUUUAUUCAAAAUAGCAGAUUUUUGACAGAGUUAAUAAAAACUGUUCAUCAAAAAAAUAAGUCAGGGUUUUCAAUUCAGUCAUUUUCUGUUAUUGAAUAUUGUUCUUUGCAAGUCUGCUUAAAAAUCUGAGUUGGAUAUAAAAUAUUAUUGAUCCCUAAAUAUUAAUUUUAACAUUUAAAUAAAAAUAAUUAAAUGAAUCCAUGGUAAUUCAGCAUGAAUAAAGAGGGAGGAGAGAGAACAUUUUUUUGUUUUAAAAAAGUUUGGAAGACAUCUAAGUAACUUAGCAGACAGUCUCAUUUUCAAGAAGGAGUUUGCUUAAAAAAUUCCAGUCAUGUUAUAUGAAAAAAUUCCCAGACAAGCCUGAAAUCAGAUUAGUUUGACUAUAGUUAAUUUCUCUGUUCAGCAAAUCAUUUAAUUUUAAGUGGCUUAAGACAGGGUGCCCAACUAGCGGCAAGGUUUCAUAAGUGGCACAAGAAGCCUCUGUGUUACAUGCAGCAGAUUGGGGAGGGGACAAGCAGAACAGUGGCAGAUAAGGCAGGAAGCAGAAAGCAGAGCAGCAGAUGGCACAGGGAGCAUGUGGCAGGAAGAAAAAGCAGAGCAGUAGUUGGGUAGGGGAAGGGAGUUGGAGUGGCACUCAAAACGAAUGUGGGGCUAAGUUGUGGCAUGCCUGCCGAAAGGUUCCCCCCUGUUUUAAGAGAUGUUUAUGAAUCACAUGUUUAAAGUAACUGUAUAAACUGGGUGUAAUUAAACUCCAGCUACCAUCUUAAUGCAACUGCUUUACAAAUCAUGCAGAAAGUGAAUUAUGUAGUAAAUAACCUCUCUCAGACCCUAGAACUUUAGAAAAACCUGUGUGCACAGCUGGUAAGACUAACAAUCAGCUGACUGGUGGUCCCAGUCCAGGACUACACUGGUUCACUGUCAGCCAGGUUUCAACUUGUCAAUGCAGGGGCACUGAUGAAGAAGUCCAAAAUCACCUUAAAAGUACAAGUGCAGCCUUUGGAUGACCGAGGAAACAGGUAUUCAAAGACUGCAACAUCAGAUCCAAAAUGAAGCUCAUGGUUUAUCAACCAGUCUUGAAUCCCCCUACUGUACGGAGCAGAGGCAUGGACAACAUAUAGGCAACACCUGAAGUCACUGGAGAAGUACCAUCAAUGCUGCCUGUGGAAGAUUCUUCAAAUCCAGCAGGAAGACAGACACACCAACGUUAGCAUCCUCUCGCAAACACCACAAGAACUGAGGCAACAAUCAUCUGACAUCAACUUUGCUGGACUGGCCACGCCACCUGCACGUCCAACGCCAGACUCCCAAAGUAAGUUUUAUUCUCCCACCUCAAAUCAAGGCAUACACUCAUCUGGAGGGCAGAGGAAGCACUUCAAGGAUGUCCUCAAGGCCAGCUUGAAAAAAAAAAAAAAUGCAACAUCAACAUCAAAUCAUGGGACACUACCAUCCAGGACCACCCCA